UGGCACAAAAGCCACCUCAGUGGUCCCGCUGU
rnacentral:piRNA from 1 species